rnacentral:sRNA from 1 species
CCACAGUCCCCCCAUCUUUGCCAUACCCCCGCCUCUGGGCAGGAUCUUCCGGAAGGUGGGCCAGCGGCUGCUCACCCAGUGCCGAACACCCUGCCCCUUCACACCUAAAGAGGCCUCGGGUCCAGGAGAAGGUGGGCCAGACCCUGACUCCAUGGAGUGGCACAGCGAGGUGAGACAUCAGGGUGGGGGACACGGGGAGACACAGGUGGAGGGCAUGCUGGCCCCUGCUAAAACCCCCUCCCC